rnacentral:rRNA from 1 species
CGUAGGGUCCGAGCGUUAAUCGGAAUUACUGGGCGUAAAGCGUGCGCAGGCGGUUUUGUAAGCCAGAUGUGAAAGCCCCGGGCUUAACCUGGGAAUGGCAUUUGGGACUGCAAGGCUGGAGUACGGCAGAGGGAGGUGGAAUUCCACGUGUAGCAGUGAAAUGCGUAGAGAUGUGGAGGAACACCGAUGGCGAAGGCAGCCUCCUGGGCUAGUACUGACGCUCAUGCACGAAAGCGUGGGGAGCAAACAGGAUUAGAUACCCUGGUAGUCCACGCCCUAAACGAUGACAACUAGUUGUUGGAGAUUUAACAUCCUUAGUAACGCAGCUAACGCGUGAAGUUGUCCGCCUGGGGAGUACGGUCGCAAGAUUAA